UACGUAGGUGGCAAGCGUUGUCCGGAUUUACUGGGCGUAAAGAGCGCGCAGGCGGUCGUGCAAGUCGCGUGUGAAAGCCCCCGGCUCAACUGGGGAGGGUCACGCGAUACUGUUCGACUCGAAGGCAGGAGAGGGAAGCAGAAUUCCCGGUGUAGUGGUGAAAUGCGUAGAUAUCAGGAAGAACACCUAUGGCGAAGGCAGCACUCUGGGACGGUACUGACGCUGAGACGCGAAAGCGUGGGGAGCGAACAGG
rnacentral:rRNA from 1 species